CGUCCCUCCGCCGAGGGGCGUGGCGCACGGCUGAGUAAUACGCGGCUAACCUGCCCUCGGGAGGGGGGUAACCCCGGGAAACUGGGACUAAUCCCCCCAUAGACGGGGAGGCCUGGAAGGGCUCCCCGUCGAAAAGGGCGCGUAGGGGUUAUCGCUACGCGCUCGCCCGAGGAUGGGGCCGCGUCCCAUCAGGUAGAUGGCGGGGUAAAGGCCCGCCAUGCCUAUAACGGGUAGGGGCCGUGAGAGCGGGAGCCCCCAGAUGGGCACUGAGACAAGGGCCCAGGCCCUACGGGGCGCACCAGGCGGGAAACCUCCGCAAUGCGGGAAACCGUGACGGGGUCACCCCGAGUGCCCUCCUUUGGGAGGGCUUUUCCCCGCUGUAAACAGGCGGGGGCAAUAAGCGGGGGGCAAGUCUGGUGUCAGCCGCCGCGGUAAUACCAGCCCCGCGAGUGGUCGGGACGGUUAUUGGGCCUAAAGCGCCCGUAGCCGGCCUAGCAAGUCUCCGCAGAAAUCCCCGGGCUCAACCCGGGGGCGUGCGGAGAUACUGCUAGGCUAGGGGGCGGGAGAGGCCGGGGGUACUCCCGGGGUAGGGGCGAAAUCCUAUAAUCCCGGGAGGACCACCAGUGGC
rnacentral:rRNA from 1 species